GAAGAAGAAAAGGGGAAACUUCAGAAGCUACAACAAGAGGAGGAGGAGCUUCAAGCACAAAAGAGGCAAAAGCAGAAGGUAAAGGGGAACCCCGAUUAUCUUCCUCAAAUGAUAUUGAAAAUGGAAGCGAGGAGGAAUAUGAGGAAAACACUAGCAGUGAGUAUAACCAACUCAGUGCAACCUUGAAUCUUUUAUUUCUUUUUAUCUAUAUCCUAAUAUUUCAAGAGGUUUAAAAUUAUAAGGUAGCUGGCAGCGGAUGUCUGAAAUUAAAAUUUCAAGGCCUAGGAUGUUUGGUUUAUCCAGCUGGCAGCGGCUGGGGAGUGAAGAUGAUAGGAUGGGAUUGAGGGAGAAUUAAGUGUGAUUAUGAUUGGGUGACUCAAUGACAUUGUUACGUAGGUUACUAUAUGGAUAAAUAAGAUUGGAGUUUAAAAAGUCCUCUCGAGUUGGAAGCGUUAGAUGGCACUGGGUAGUAAAAUAGUUUUAAGUUAGAUCUGGUGGUUUAAGGGCAAAUUGGUCGUGUUGGUUUCAAGAUGACGUCAAAACUUGAAUUGAUAGUUGGCUGUUAGCAGAGGGCUGGUGCUUUUACCGACUUGGAGAUUAAGGGAAUUACCAAAGUAAAGAACCAAAGAGGCUUGCACUUGGAAAGUUCCUACUGUAGAAACUAGCUUCUUACGUGACAGCACUCUUACAGUGAGAAGGAAGCAGAGGACAAGCUGAACGUGGAAGGCUGCGGGAAACAGUGGCUUCAUGAGCAGGAACAGAUUCGAAAUUAGCCUCUUGAAAUCACUUACUCAGAUGGAGCAGGCUAUUGGCAAGUUCUUCAGGUAGUUUUGGCUAUAUACUUCCACUAUCUUUCGCUGAUCUAUCUUCUUCAACCCUCCCCCAAAGUUCACUCUACUGCAACAUUUUUCUUGGCCUCCUUCGGAGUUUCCGUUUUUCAAAGGUGAUACAAUUGGAGAAUUUCUUCGGGCUGCUCAGCAGCAACUUGCACCUGAGUUUCGAGAGAUUUUGGACAACUUCAGUGGAGAACCUGCUUUACGUAAAGGAAGAUCUUAUUAUACCUCAUGUGACUGUGAGAUAUUAUGAAUACGCUUAUUUAUGGUCGUAUUUAUGUAUUCACCGUUUGGACCUGUGCAGCUAUUGCAUCACUUUUUGUUUUCAUAGGAUUUCCAGCAGCACAGUUUCUACGAGCUGAUUGUCGACAAGGCAAGGGGGAAAAUCCCAUGCUGGUAAAGUUUUAGAGAGACACUGGCAUGAAAAGAACAAGCACAUCUUUCCUGCUUCGAUCAAGAUGGGAGAUAUAUGACCCAACAAGGAAGUGGGAGCGGUACACAAUCCACGGGAAUUAAUUAACCAUAGGCAAUGUUCUCAUACACGCUCUAUUGCUGCUUUUAUGAGCUGAAACCGAUGCCAUCUUCAACCCUAACUGCAUUCCCCUGCAUUUUUGUGUAGCUCAGCUGAUGAUUUAUAUGUACUUGUGCUAGCAUUUGUGGUCAGCUUCGAGUAGCUAUUUGUGUAACGGUUCCCUAGAAUCCCUACAAAAGACCUUGCACCAGAACAUGUUGAGGCGAACCACUUUUUUACCACAAUAGUUUCUGCUGAAAUGUAAUUUAUCUGAUCACUUCAGCGUACGUUGCUUGCAAUUUGGGCAUUGGAAGAAUAUUGCAUUCCUCACGUAUGAUGGUCAAAUGUCAAUGACUCAAUGCACCAUGUUCA